rnacentral:rRNA from 1 species
GACGAACGCUGGCGGCGUGCUUAACACAUGCAAGUCGAACGGAAAGGCCCUGCUUGCCGGGUACUCGAGUGGCGAACGGGUGAGUAACACGUGGGUGAUCUGCCCUGCACUUCGGGAUAAGCCUGGGAAACUGGGUCUAAUACCGGAUAGGAGCCAUUUUUAGUGUGAUGGUUGGAAAGUUUUUUCGGUGUAGGAUGAGCUCGCGGCCUAUCAGCUUGUUGGUGGGGUAAUGGCCUACCAAGGCGGCGACGGGUAGCCGGCCUGAGAGGGUGGACGGCCACAUUGGGACUGAGAUACGGCUCAGACUCCUACGGGAGGCAGCAGUGGGGAAUAUUGCACAAUGGGCGCAAGCCUGAUGCAGCGACGCCGCGUGGGGGAUGACGGCCUUCGGGUUGGAAACUCCUUUCGCUAGGGACGAAGCUUUUUGUGACGGUACCUAGAUAAGAAGCACCGGCUAACUACGUG